rnacentral:lncRNA from 1 species
AGUGCUUCCUCACCACUAACAAGCAGAGACGCUCCUCAAGGCUUGCCAGGAGCCCCACAGACCUUUGAUGGCCGUUUCUGAAGCAACGCCUGGCUUCCUCACGGAGAAAAUUACCUUCCAGGCUGCCCUGUGUACAGAUGCUCUAACACACCUUUUGGACACAAGAUGAUUGACACAUCGAGACAGGAGAUGCUUGACAAUGCCAACCUCUGGACUGCAGCCGGAUCUCCAGACACCAACAAUCAGCGUCUGAGUACACCGUGCACAAAGCCAUCCCCACACUCCGGCUGAUAGCUGACCCGCAUUCCUGCCUGGUACCUUGAACUCUGAAAGAAGCAUCACAGAUCAAUAAGGCGGUUGGUGAGAGAGGAGGUGGCGGCAACACUUCCUCCUGUACCCCAUACUUGCCCCACCUCUGCAUCUCAUCUCUGCCCAUGCUUCCACUUCCUCCUCCUGGGUACAUCUUCCAGGCCAUGCAUCUGACCCUAAAGUCACCAAAAGGAAAGUAAGCAUGCGAUAGUUUAAAGUAUUCAGGAAAGACCAUCUCCAAACACAACGGUUUUCCGGAUCUAGUCUUCCUGAGCAAUGGAAGGCACAAGCCACACACCACUGAGCAUUUGCUAGGUGGCUUAUACUAGAAACACAAAACACUCUGAAAUUUAGAGGCAGACAGAGAGGAACAGCAAGUGAACUAGUAAGUUUCAUAUGGAAACACUAACAUUGUAAAUAUUUUGCUUUAAACACGGUAAGAUUAAAGUCAAAGGCCACAUUUCCUCUGACAUUCUUAAAUGAGGCAACUUAGAAUUACAUGUGUGGCUUGCAUUCAAUUUUUCCUGGCCGUAGCUGCUCCAGACAGCUCCUCCUUCAUUAGACAGCCCAGCUUGACAUUAUUAGCCUACUCCCUCAGACUCUCAGAGAAAAGGAGUCCUUUACAGUCCUGCUGCCAGAGUCUGGACUUGUAGGGCAAAGGAAGCACGCUAACAGAGACUGCAGGCACAGAGAAUUGUCUCUGAUGAGAAAGCAGCCAGGGCUGUCUUUUCGCCCUAACUCCUGGCUAGGUGUGAAGGGAGCUGGUGAGUACAGCGUUUAGAACCUAAUAUGUUCCUGAGAAAGGAGGUGGGGCCAGGAUUCUGUAGGGUGCCUGGCAGAUGGAUUGCACACUGGUCUAGAGAAAAAUCAGACAGAACUUCUACCCUUAGAGCAAACGAGACAGGAUACACAGGGAAGCAGACACAUGGCAGCUUAGUGCAAUGAGGACUCGUCCAUAAGAUACACUCAAAGAGCCAGGAUAGACCCACCAGAGAGGAACUGGCUGUUGGAGGAAUCCUGAUUGCGAGAGGCAAUACUCCACUGUGUCUUUGUGAACCUCUGAGAACAGGCAGCAAAUGGACCCAGGGAGUCCAGCCUCUAAAGACCACACACCGGCCAAGGCUAAGGUCGGACCUACAUUGUGAGGCUGGGGUGUAACUCAGUUGAUAGUGCACAAGCCCUCAGUCUUGCUUCCCAGUGCAGCACUGCAUAACUGGGUGCUGGGGUGGACACUCAGUGGAGGAAGCAGGCGGAUCUGGAAUUCAGUUGGUUUUGGUACAUAGCAAGUUCAAGGACAGCCUGGUGUCCUUGACUGUUCCUUUACAGACCCUGACAAAAACUAAACCAACAACCAACCAGAUAGUGAGGACUUGGGCUGACCAUCUUGGGCAGUAGCUACCACAAUUACUCAUGAGGAUCAUACUUGAUCUUCCCACAUCCUUCCCUCUCUUACUAGAAAUAAGCAAGCAUUAGAGCUGGUUACUGAGCUCAAAGGCCACACUUGGGCACCAUCAGCAUCAAGAUUCUUGAUACAGUUCUUGAUGCAUAGAAUUCUUGAUACAAGCCCGGGAUAAACCAGGAACGUUUUGGCCAGAAUGAGGUUACUUCUGUCCUGACCACUUUACAAGUCUCCUACUUCUGACCCUCACUAUCUAGGGUCACACUGCCCCCAGGCUUAAUUUGGGGGCCAGUUGUCAUGCCCAGAGGCCCAUUUUUCCAGCAUCCAGCCAGGAAUCUGUGACUCUGGCAGACUUUGUCAUAGUAGAAUACAGAUUUGGUGUUGUGGGGCUGGUUCCUUGGGGGAAAUAAGAUUGCAGAAUUAUAUUGGUUUUUCGAGACAGGGUUUCUCUGUAUAGCCCUGGCUGUCCUGGAACUCACUUUGUAGACCAGGCUGGCCUCGAACUCAGAAAUCCGCUUGCCUCUGCCUCCCAAGUGCUGGGAUUAAAGGCGUGCACCACCACGCCUAGCAAAAUUGUCCAUUUUUUUAAAUGGUCAGAAAAACAAAUUCUAUUGUGUAGUCCCAAUGAACAUGGCCUACAAGCCUCUUGUAGCUCAGACACAAACUGGGGCCUGGUCUACUUAUGGGAUGUAAAAUAAUACUUAAUAAUCUUUAUCUAGCUUCAAAUGAAUGAGACUUAAACUAUGAUAUUUAUUUAUUAGGCUCUGAGCAAUUAUUGUGCAAUUACCCCUAAUCUAAAUCUCUAACUUAGUCUGGCUACUACCCGAACUCUGUAUCCUAAAUACUUGAUGUUUGAAAUUUUCUGGGUUAUUUCUGCUCCAGGAGUCUGGUGUCCUGGGGAGGCAUUUCAACCCGGCCUGAGCUGCUGGUCCAUUAUGACUCAUGAACACUUCCUGAUCUCUCUGUCUUCUCCUCCUCCGAGCUCCUUCUAUUUCCCUCUCCUCAUGGUCCCCACCUGAGACCCCCAGCUUGAUAACUCAAACCCCGCCUCUCUCUAUUCCCCACAGUAACUGGCUGUCACCAGUUUUAUUUAAUGAAUAGUCUUAAAUUGGGGAGCAAGGUUUACAAAUGAAAGUUGGUACAGGUGAGGACCCACUUGUCUUGGAGCAACCAGAUCUUGGGGUUCAGAAUUUAGCAUUUAAAUACAAGCAAUACCAGACCAACCCCCUUCAAAGGGAAGCUUUUGCUUCUCCCAGGGCCAACCCUGUCUUCCUACUCCCAUCUCCCCUCUCACUCUCCUGGAGCAACUUUAAUCUCCUGACCCUCCUCCGAGGAUCUGCAGAGCUCUCAGUGUGACUCUACCUUCUUGUCCACUGUUCUUCCCUUACAGGGCUCACUCCUAGCUACUUUCUGGGACUUAGUGACUUUUCUUCUCUUUCCCUUCCCCUCCCUUUACCCUUCUGUUUCCCAUUCCUUCCUUUCCAUUAUUUCUCCUUCCACCACCCCCUCUGUUUCCUGGUUUCCGUUAAACCUGGGCUGGCCUCGAACUCACUUACAUAGCUCAGGCUGUGUCUGAACUCAUGAUGUUCCUGGCCUCCGCCCCUCACAAGCUGGGCUCACAAGUAUAUCACCACAGCCAGCAGGAAACAGUUUUCAAAUUUUCCAGGCUGUGCCCUGGAGUAAGAAACAAACUGAGCAGCAGCCCUUAGAACAUAGAAAGGAAAUAUUAAACAGUGGAGGAUGCUGGACGGGAUGCAGGAUGGGGAGCUUUCAGAGAGAAGAGCAGGGAGAUCGUCAAGUAACGUAGGACCAGAACGCUGAUGUCUUGGCCUUAAUUCACAAGUAUUUAUUGAGCACUUACAUCCUUCCCAAAGCAGAAUGAGCAAUCACACAACUAUGCUUUAAUUGUGAGGGGUGAGGGGUGGAGGGAAGCAUUGGGGAACCCAUUCCUGAAGCGUCUGUCACUGGUGUGUGUACUCAAUGGGAACACUUGGGCUUCAGGCUUGCUUGUCCUUCAUCGCUGUCUGCCCAUCACCUCUUGGAACACAGCUUCCAUCUCUUUACCUCAGGCUGCAGGUUACACACAAAGCCCAGUUCCUGCCCCUGCCUUCCUCAUGCUGGGCCUGGUUUCAGAGCAUCCUCUACAAUACUCUGCCCCCUUUUACUCAUUUGUUAAAAUACCACUUGUUUCAC